rfam:Nitrobacter winogradskyi Nb-255, complete genome.
GGGCGAUUAGCUCAGUUGGUAGAGCAGCUGACUCUUAAUCAGCGGGUCGUAGGUUCGAGCCCUACAUCGCCCA